AGAGUUUGAUCCUGGCUCAGAUUGAACGCUGGCGGCAGGCCUAACACAUGCAAGUCGAACGGUAACAGGAAGAAGCUUGCUUCUUUGCUGACGAGUGGCGGACGGGUGAGUAAUGUCUGGGAAACUGCCUGAUGGAGGGGGAUAACUACUGGAAACGGUAGCUAAUACCGCAUAACGUCGCAAGACCAAAGAGGGGGACCUUCGGGCCUCUUGCCAUCGGAUGUGCCCAGAUGGGAUUAGCUAGUAGGUGGGGUAAAGGCUCACCUAGGCGACGAUCCCUAGCUGGUCUGAGAGGAUGACCAGCCACACUGGAACUGAGACACGGUCCAGACUCCUACGGGAGGCAGCAGUGGGGAAUAUUGCACAAUGGGCGCAAGCCUGAUGCAGCCAUGCCGCGUGUAUGAAGAAGGCCUUCGGGUUGUAAAGUACUUUCAGCGGGGAGGAAGGGAGUAAAGUUAAUACCUUUGCUCAUUGACGUUACCCGCAGAAGAAG
rnacentral:rRNA from 1 species